UACGAAGGGGGCUAGCGUUGCUCGGAAUUACUGGGCGUAAAGCGCACGUAGGCGGCUUUCUAAGUCGGGGGUGAAAUCCUGGAGCUCAACUCCAGAACUGCCUUCGAUACUGGGAGCUCGAGUUCGGGAGAGGUGAGUGGAACUGCGAGUGUAGAGGUGAAAUUCGUAGAUAUUCGCAAGAACACCAGUGGCGAAGGCGGCUCACUGGCCCGAUACUGACGCUGAGGUGCGAAAGCGUGGGGAGCAAACAGG
rnacentral:rRNA from 1 species